GACGAACGCUGGCGGCGUGCUUAACACAUGCAAGUCGAACGGAAAGGCCCUGCUUUUGUGGGGUGCUCGAGUGGCGAACGGGUGAGUAACACGUGAGUAACCUGCCCUUGACUUUGGGAUAACUUCAGGAAACUGGGGCUAAUACCGGAUAGGAGCUCCUGCUGCAUGGUGGGGGUUGGAAAGUUUCGGCGGUUGGGGAUGGACUCGCGGCUUAUCAGCUUGUUGGUGGGGUAGUGGCUUACCAAGGCUUUGACGGGUAGCCGGCCUGAGAGGGUGACCGGCCACAUUGGGACUGAGAUACGGCCCAGACUCCUACGGGAGGCAGCAGUGGGGAAUAUUGCACAAUGGGCGGAAGCCUGAUGCAGCAACGCCGCGUGCGGGAUGACGGCCUUCGGGUUGUAAACCGCUUUCGCCUGUGACGAAGCGUGAGUGACGGUAAUGGGUAAAGAAGCACCGGCUAACUACGUGCCAGCAGCCGCGGUGAUACGUAGGGUGCGAGCGUUGUCCGGAUUUAUUGGGCGUAAAGGGCUCGUAGGUGGUUGAUCGCGUCGGAAGUGUAAUCUUGGGGCUUAACCCUGAGCGUGCUUUCGAUACGGGUUGACUUGAGGAAGGUAGGGGAGAAUGGAAUUCCUGGUGGAGCGGUGGAAUGCGCAGAUAUCAGGAGGAACACCAGUGGCGAAGGCGGUUCUCUGGGCCUUUCCUGACGCUGAGGAGCGAAAGCGUGGGGAGCGAACAGGCUUAGAUACCCUGGUAGUCCACGCUGUAAACGGUGGGUACUAGGUGUGGGGUCCAUUCCACGGGUUCCGUGCCGUAGCUAACGCUUUAAGUACCCCGCCUGGGGAGUACGGCCGCAAGGCUAAAACUCAAAGGAAUUGACGGGGCCCCGCACAAGCGGCGGAGCAUGCGGAUUAAUUCGAUGCAACGCGUAGAACCUUACCUGGGUUUGACAUGGAUCGGGAGCGCUCAGAGAUGGGUGUGCCUCUUUUGGGGUCGGUUCACAGGUGGUGCAUGGCUGUCGUCAGCUCGUGUCGUGAGAUGUUGGGUUAAGUCCCGCAACGAGCGCAACCCUUGUUCACUGUUGCCAGCACGUUAUGGUGGGGACUCAGUGGAGACCGCCGGGGUCAACUCGGAGGAAGGUGGGGAUGACGUCAAGUCAUCAUGCCCCUUAUGUUCAGGGCUUCACGCAUGCUACAAUGGCUGGUACAGAGAGUGGCGAGCCUGUGAGGGUGAGCGAAUCUCGGAAAGCCGGCCUCAGUUCGGAUUGGGGUCUGCAACUCGACCUCAUGAAGUCGGAGUCGCUAGUAAUCGCAGAUCAGCAACGCUGCGGUGAAUACGUUCCCGGGGCU
rnacentral:rRNA from 1 species